AUUGAACGCUGGCGGCAGGCCUAACACAUGCAAGUCGAGCGAGCGGCGGACGGGUGCGUAAUGUCUGGGAAACUGCCUGAUGGAGGGGGAUAACUACUGGAAACGGUAGCUAAUACCGCAUACCAUCAGAUGUGCCCAGAUGGGAUUAGCUAGUAGGUGGGGUAACGGCUCACCUAGGCGACGAACCCUAGCUGGUCUGAGAGGAUGAACAGCCACACUGGAACUGAGACACGGUCCAGACUCCUACGGGAGGCAGCAGUGGGGAAUAUUGGACAAUGGGCGCAAGCCGGAUGCAGCCAUGCCGCGUGGGUGAAGAAGGUCUUCGGGUUGUAAAGCACUUUCAGCGGGGAGGCGUUACCCGAAGAAGAAGCACCGGCUAACUCCGUGCCAGCCGCCGCGGUAAUAC
rnacentral:rRNA from 1 species